rnacentral:rRNA from 1 species
CCUACGGGGAGCUGCAGUGGGGGAUAUUGCACAAUGGGGGAAACCCUGAUGCAGCGACGCCGCGUGGGUGAAGAAGCGCCUCGGCGCGUAAAGCCCUGUCAGCAGGGAAGAAAAUGACGGUACCUGAAGAAGAAGCCCCGGCUAACUACGUGCCAGCAGCCGCGGUAAUACGUAGGGGGCAAGCGUUAUCCGGAUUUACUGGGUGUAAAGGGGGCGCAGACGGCGAUGCAAGCCAGGAGUGAAAGCCCGGGGCCCAACCCCGGGACUGCUCUUGGAACUGCGUGGCUAGAGUGCAGGAGGGGCAGGCGGAAUUCCGGGUGUAGCGGUGAAAUGCGUAGAUAGCAGGAGGAACACCGGUGGCGAAGGCGGCCUGCUGGACUGCAACUGACGUUGAGGCCCGAAAGCGUGGGGAGCAAACAGGAUUAGAUACCCUGGUAGUC